rnacentral:rRNA from 1 species
AGAGUUUGAUCCUGGCUCAGAACGAACGCUGGCGGCAGGCCUAACACAUGCAAGUCGAACGGAUGUAGCAAUACAUUAGUGGCGCACGGGAGAGUAACGCGUGGGAACCUACCUUUUGGUUUGGGAUAACGUCGGGAAACUGACGCUAAUACCAGAUAAGCCCUUCGGGGGAAAGAUUUAUCGCCGAUAGAUGGGCCCGCGUUAGAUUAGCUAGUUGGUGAGGUAACGGCUCACCAAGGCGACGAUCUAUAACUGGUCUGAGAGGAUGACCAGUCUCACUGGGACUGAGACACGGCCAGACUCCUACGGGAGGCAGCAGUGGGGAAUAUUGGACAAUGGGGGCAACCCUGAUCCAGCCAUGCCGCGUGAAUGAUGAAGGCCUUCGGGUUGUAAAGUUCUUUUGGUGGGGACGAUGAUGACGGUACCCACAGAAUAAGCUCCGGCUAACUUCGUGCCAGCAGCCGCGGUAAUACGAAGGGGGCUAGCGUUGUUCGGAAUUACUGGGCGUAAAGGGCGCGUAGGCGGUUUAACAAGUUGGGUGUGAAAUCCCAGGGCUCAACCCUGGAACUGCACCCAAGACUGUUUUACUUGAAUUCGGUAGAGGUUGGUGGAAUUCCCAGUGUAGAGGUGAAAUUCGUAGAUAUUGGGAAGAACACCCGUGGCGAAGGCGGCCAACUGGACCGACAUUGACGCUGAGGCGCGAAAGCGUGGGGAGCAAACAGGAUUAGAUACCCUAGUAGUCC